rnacentral:rRNA from 1 species
GUCGAGGGGCAGCACAGGUAGCAAUACUGGGUGGCGACCGGCAAACGGGUGCGGAACACGUACGCAAUCUACCGUUAUCUGGGGCAUAGCCCGGAGAAAUCCGGAUUAACUCCCCAUAAUAUAGUUGAGUGGCAUCACUUGAUUAUUAAAAAUUUAUUGGAUAAUGAUGAGCGUGCGUCCCAUUAGCUAGUUGGUAGGGUAACGGCCUACCAAGGCGACGAUGGGUAGCUGGUGUGAGAGCACGACCAGCCACACGGGCACUGAGACACGGGCCCGACUCCUACGGGAGGCAGCAGUGAGGAAUAUUGGUCAAUGGACGCAAGUCUGAACCAGCCAUGCCGCGUGAAGGAUGAAGGCCUUCUGGGUUGUAAACUUCUUUUAUGGGGGAAGAAAACUACGGUUUCUACUGUAGCCGACGGUACCCUAGGAAUAAGCACCGGCUAACUCCGUGCCAGCAGCCGCGGUAAUACGGAGGGUGCAAGCGUUAUCCGGAUUUACUGGGUUUAAAGGGUGUGUAGGCGGGCUUUUAAGUCAGUGGUGAAAUCUCCGGGCUCAACCUGGAAACUGCCAUUGAUACUAUUAGUCUUGAAUUCUGUUGAGGUAGGCGGAAUAAGUCAUGUAGCGGUGAAAUGCUUAGAUAUGACUUAGAACACCGAUUGCGAAGGCAGCUUACUAAACAGACAUUGACGCUGAGGCACGAAAGCGUGGGGAUCAAACAGGAUUAGAUACCCUGGUAGUCCACGCCCUA